rnacentral:tRNA from 3 species
UUUAUGUGUAGAAAAAGGAAGUUUUGAAGGAGUUACUGCUUCUUUUGGGUUAAUGAUGGCAUCUGUAACAGUUCAGAAACUAUUAAAAAAAA